CAGCACCGCGGUAACACGUAGGGUGCAAGCGUUAAUCGGAAUUACUGGGCGUAAAGCGUGCGCAGGCGGUUUGUUAAGACAGAUGUGAAAUCCCCGGGCUCAACCUGGGAACUGCAUUUGUGACUGGCAAGCUAGAGUCUGGCAGAGGGGGGGUGGAAUUCCGCGUGUAGCAGUGAAAUGCGUAGAUAUGCGGAGGAACACCGAUGGCGAAGGCAGCCCCCUGGGCCAACACUGACGCUCAUGCACGAAAGCGUGGGGAGCAAACAGGAUUAGAUACCCCUGUAGUCCCUGUCUCUUAUAA
rnacentral:rRNA from 1 species